rnacentral:rRNA from 1 species
CCUACGGGGGGCAGCAGUGAGGAAUUUUGCGCAAUGGCCGCAAGGCUGACGCAGCAACGCCGCGUGGGUGAUGAAGGCCUUCGGGUCGUAAAGCCCUGUCAGGUGGGAAGAAAGGCUUGAUUGGGAAUACUGAUUGAGUUUGACGGUACCACCAGAGGAAGCACCGGCUAACUCCGUGCCAGCAGCCGCGGUAAUACGGAGGGUGCGAGCGUUAUUCGGAAUUACUGGGCGUAAAGCGCGUGUAGGCGGGGAAGCAAGUCUGAUGUGAAAGCCCUGGGCUUAACCUGGGAAGUGCAUUGGAAACUGCUUUUCUUGAGUACUGGAGAGGAAGGGGGAAUUCCCGGUGUAGAGGUGAAAUUCGUAGAGAUCGGGAGGAAUACCAGUGGCGUAGGCGCCCUUCUGGACGGUUACUGACGCUGAGGAGCGAAAGCAUGGGGAGCGAACAGGAUUAGAUACCCCAGUAGUC